rnacentral:rRNA from 1 species
UACGAAGGGGGCUAGCGUUGCUCGGAAUCACUGGGCGUAAAGCGCACGUAGGCGGAUCUUUAAGUCAGGGGUGAAAUCCUGGAGCUCAACUCCAGAACUGCCUUUGAUACUGGGGAUCUCGAGUCCGGGAGAGGUGAGUGGAACUGCGAGUGUAGAGGUGAAAUUCGUAGAUAUUCGCAAGAACACCAGUGACGAAGGCGGCUCACUGGUCCGGUACUGACGCUGAGGUGCGAAAGCGUGGGGAGCAAACAGG